CUCCUGGGCUCAAGUGUUCCUCCCACCUCAGCCUCCCAGAGUGCUGGGAUUACAGGCAUGAGCCACUGUGCCUGUCUUUUUUAUAAGAUCUUCUGUAAGUACAUGCCUAAACUUACAUGUCAAUGUGCCAAGUUACAGUACUUGGUACAGAACAGUACUAACCUCCUCUUUCCAUUCUAAGGUGACUGAGACAGUCUGCCCAGACCUAACCACGUACUUAUGGAAUAGCUACUACUAGAGUGAGGCUGGCCUACUGCUGAUCCUGAUGACAAAGAUAGACCCAGCAGAGAUCUUGCAAAAAAAAGAUUAAAACUGCUUCAACGAAUAGGAAGGUGAAGGCUGCCAGCACACAGAACUCAGUCAAGGCUGUUUAUUGCAGCACUGCGAGCGACAAGUUGGAAACAAUGUUUGUCAGCGAGCAAAUGGUUGAAUAAACUUGCUAACACAAUCUGGAAUAUUAUGCAGCUCCUAAAAAUGAGUUAAACUGCCAUUUAUUGGAUACACUUUGGAUGUUCUGUUAAGAAAUGCAACUUACAGAGAAAUACACAAAACAGGAUCCUAUUUUUGUAAAGACAAACUAGAAAUCCUGUGUACUUAUUAAUAUCUUAGAUCUGUGGAAAGAAGUGGAGUGGAAGCCUCCAUUACAGUCUUGCCAUGGGGGUGGAGAGCGAUGACCAUUUUAUAUUUUUACUCUUGUGAAUUUAAAAAGCUAAGAAUUUAAAUAAAAACUGAGUGUACUGUUGUGAAGCCCA